GCGCGAAAACUUUACAAUGCUGGCAACAGCGAUAAGGGAACCUCGAGUGCCAGGUUACAAAUCUGGCUGUCGAGAUGCCUAAAAAGCAUUUCAUAGCAAGGGCCGGGCAAGACCGGUGCCAGCCGCCGCGGUAACACCGGCGGCUCGAGUGGUAACCGUUAUUAUUGGGUCUAAAGGGUCUGUAGCCGGCCGGAUAAGUCUCUUGAGAAAUCUGGCAGCUUAACUGUCAGGCUUUCAGGAGAUACUGUCUGGCUCGAGGCCGGGAGAGGUGAGAGGUACUUCAGGGGUAGGGGUGAAAUCUUGUAAUCCUUGAAGGACCACCAGUGGCGAAGGCGUCUCACCAGAACGGACCUGACGGCAAGGGACGGAAGCUAGGGGCACGAACCG
rnacentral:rRNA from 1 species